UCCAUAGAUGCUGCUUCACCCGCUGAGUUUCUCCAGCAUUUUUUGUACACUGCAUUUAAAUAUGCUCAACAUUAAAUCUGCAAAUUUAUUGAACAAGAAACUUUAAUGUUAUGUUGAAACAACCACUUUCUAACAUAGCUGGAGGUUGUC